rnacentral:rRNA from 1 species
UACGAAGGGGGCUAGCGUUGUUCGGAAUCACUGGGCGUAAAGGGCGCGUAGGCGGCUUUAUAAGUCGGGGGUGAAAGCCUGUGGCUCAACCACAGAAUUGCCUUCGAUACUGUAGAGCUUGAGACCGGAAGAGGUAAGUGGAACUGCGAGUGUAGAGGUGAAAUUCGUAGAUAUUCGCAAGAACACCAGUGGCGAAGGCGGCUUACUGGACACAUAUUGACGCUGAGGUGCGAAAGCGUGGGGAGCAAACAGG